rnacentral:rRNA from 1 species
GAUGAACGCUGGCGGCGUGCCUAAUACAUGCAAGUCGAGCGAACAGACGAGGAGCUUGCUCCUCUGACGUUAGCGGCGGACGGGUGAGUAACACGUGGAUAACCUACCUAUAAGACUGGGAUAACUUCGGGAAACCGGAGCUAAUACCGGAUAAUAUAUUGCACCGCAUGGUUCAAUAGUGAAAGACGGUUUUGCUGUCACUUAUAGCUGGAUCCGCGCCGCAUUAGCGAGUUGGUAAGGUAACGGCUUACCAAGGCAACGAUGCGUAGCCGACCUGAGAGGGUGAUCGGCCACACUGGAACUGAGACACGGUCCAGACUCCUACGGGAGGCAGCAGUAGGGAAUCUUCCGCAAUGGGCGAAAUCCUGACGGAGCAACGCCGCGUGAGUGAUGAAGGUCUUCGGAUCGUAAAACUCUGUUAUUAGGGAAGAACAAAUGUGUAAGUAACUAUGCACGUCUUGACGGUACCUAAUCAGAAAGCCACGGCUAACUACGUG